AUACGGAGGGUGCAAGCGUUGUCCGGAUUUAUUGGGUUUAAAGGGUGUGUAGGCAGUGUAUUAAGUCAGUGGUGAAAGCCUGCGGCUCAACCGUAGAACUGCCAUUGAUACUGACACACUUGAGUAUGGACGAGGUAGGCGGAAUUUAUGGUGUAGCGGUGAAAUGCAUAGAUACCAUAAAGAACACCGAUAGCGAAGACAGCUUACUAGGCCAUAACUGACGCUGAGGCACGAAAGCGUGGGGAGCGAACAGGAUUAGAAACCCCAGUAGUCC
rnacentral:rRNA from 1 species